CAUAUGGGGUGGAGGGGUUUGGGGCCACCCCUGAAGCCCCCUCCUGGUGUCCCCCCCCAAUUUGCAGCGGAUUUCCUGGAGCCGGCGGUGGGGCAGAAAUGGGACCGGGUGCGGCUCACCUGCAGCCAGCCCUUCAGCAGGCAGGGGCAGUUCGGGCUCUCCUUCCUCCGCCUGCGCACCCCCAGUGACCCCCAGUCCAACCCACAGCCGGUACUGGAGGGCGCCCACAGCCCCCAGCGCUGCAGCCCGGCCAUCUGCAGGAUGCUGUGCGCACAGACUGGAUCGGUCUCACGGCAGGAGGAGCAGCUCAGGAGCCGCCU
rnacentral:lncRNA from 1 species